UUGACGGGGGCCCGCACAAGCGGUGGAGCACGUGGUUUAAUUCGUUGCUACACGAAGAACCUUACCUGGGUUUGACAUAUAGGUUGUAGGGAACUGAAAAGGGACCGACCCUUCGGGGAGCCUAUACAGGUGUUGCAUGGCUGUCGUCAGCUCGUGUCGUGAGAUGUUCGGUUAAGUCCGCUAACGAGCGCAACCCUCGUCGUAUGUUAUAUGUGUCAUACGAGACUGCCGGUAAAAGCCGGAGGAAGGUGAGGAUGAUGUCAAGUCAGCAUGACCUUUAUAUCCAGGGCUACACACACGCUACAAUGGUCUGUACAAUGGGUAGCCAAGCCGCGAGGCGGAGCCAAUCCUGAAAGCAGGCCUCAGUUCAGAUUGCAGUCUGCAACUCGACUGCAUGAAGCCGGAGUUGCUAGUAACCGCAGGUCAGCAAUACUGCGGUGAAUACGUUCCCGGGUCUU
rnacentral:rRNA from 1 species